rnacentral:misc_RNA from 1 species
AGCAGCCGCGGUAAUUCCAGCUCCAAUAGCGUAUAUUAAAGUUGUUGCAGUUAAAAAGCUCGUAAUUGAAUUUCGGGAUUGACACAUCGGUCGUGCCUUAAGGGGUAUGAACUGGUGUAGUCAAUUUCUCACCUUCUGGAGAACCGCGAUGCCCUUAAUUGGGUGUCGCGGGGAACCAGGACCUUUACUUUGAAAAAUUAGAGUGUUUAAAGCGGACAUUUUGCUUGAAUACAUUAGCAUGGAAUAAUAAAAUAGGACGGCAUGAUUCUAUUUUGUUGGUUUCUAGGAUCACCGUAAUGAUUAAUAGGGAUAGUUGGGGGCAUUAGUAUUCAAUUGUCAGAGGUGAAAUUCUUGGAUUUAUUGAAGACUAACUACUGCGAAAGCAUUUGCCAAGGAUGUUUUCAUUAAUCAAGAACGAAAGUUAGGGGAUCGAAGACGAUCAGAUACCGUCGUAGUCUUAACCAUAAACUAUGCCGACUAGGAAUCAGACGAUGUUAAUUUUUAAUGACUCGUUUGGCAC